GACGAACGCUGGCGGCGUGCUUAACACAUGCAAGUCGAACGGUAAGGCCCUUCGGGGUACACGAGUGGCGAACGGGUGAGUAACACGUGGGUGAUCUGCCCUGCACUUUGGGAUAAGCCUGGGAAACUGGGUCUAAUACCGGAUAGGACCAUGGACUUCACGGUUUGUGGUGGAAAGCUUUUGCGGUGUGGGAUGGGCCCGCGGGCUAUCAGCUUGUUGGUGGGGUGAUGGCCUACCAAGGCGACGACGGGUAGCCGGCCUGAGAGGGUGACCGGCCACACUGGGACUGCGAUACGGCCCAGACUCCUACGGGAGGCAGCAGUGGGGAAUAUUGCACAAUGGGCGCAAGCCUGAUGCAGCGACGCCGCGUGAGGGAUGACGGCCUUCGGGUUGUAAACCUCUUUCAGCACCGACGAAGCGCAAGUGACGGUAGGUGCAGAAGAAGGACCGGCCAACUACGUGCCAGCCGCCGCAGUAA
rnacentral:rRNA from 1 species